rnacentral:rRNA from 1 species
UGGGGAAUUUUGGGCAAUGGGCGAAAGCCUGACCCAGCAACGCCGCGUGAAGGAUGAAGUAUUUCGGUAUGUAAACUUCGAAAGAAUAGGAAGAAUAAAUGACGGUACUAUUUAUAAGGUCCGGCUAACUACGUGCCAGCAGCCGCGGUAAUACGUAGGGACCAAGCGUUGUUCGGAUUUACUGGGCGUAAAGGGCGCGUAGGCGGCAUGACAAGUCACUUGUGAAAUCUCUGGGCUUAACCCAGAACGGCCAAGUGAUACUGUCGCGCUAGAGUGCAGAAGGGGCAAUCGGAAUUCUUGGUGUAGCGGUGAAAUGCGUAGAUAUCAAGAGGAACACCUGAGGUGAAGACGGGUUGCUGGGCUGACACUGACGCUGAGGCGCGAAAGCCAGGGGAGCAAACGGGAUUAGAUACCCUAGUAGUCCCUGAGCGGGCUGGCAAGGCGCAU